UAGCCGUAAACGAUACUCGCUAGGUGUCGGCCACGGUGCGACCGUUGUCGGUGCCGUAGGGAAGCCGUGAAGCGAGCCACCUGGGAAGUACGGCCGCAAGGCUGAAACUUAAAGGAAUUGGCGGGGGAGCACCACAACGGGUGGAGCUUGCGGUUUAAUUGGAUUCAACGCCGGAAUCUUACCGGGACCGACAGCAACAUGAAGGCCAGGCUGAAGACUUUGCCGGAUUAGCUGAGAGGAGGUGCAUGGCGUAGUCGUGU
rnacentral:rRNA from 1 species